rnacentral:lncRNA from 1 species
AAGCCCCGGAGGGGAGGAAAGUCGGUGAAAGCUCUGAACCACAAAAGCAAUUCCAGUCCAAGCCCAGGGGAAUCCUUCUUGCUCGAGAAGGAGCUUCCUCCGCAGCGAGGAGAAUGUGACCUACGUUCUAAAACCCCUUGAGCACCUGAGAAAACACGAAAGUUGAUAAAUGAAGUCAGUUCCUGCUCGCGCUUGCUGCUUGCGGUACCCUGACUUCUAGCAGACAUUUCCAUUAGCGGUUGUGAGCCACAGCAGAGUGGCCUCGGCCAGCCGCAUAUCGGGACGUUGCCUUCACAUCCUUCUGUACCAUGGUUCACAUCAGAACAGCAACUCAGAUGUGUGCAAAAACCAGCAGUGUAGAAACUUCUCCAUUUACCAUAUCACAGCAGCAAGCAGCAAGAAACCACCAGCCCGGCUUCUACCGUAGGUUCAAUCAUCCUUUCUGAUUUCUAACCCAUUUUGAGCACUGUUAACAGGUUGGACAAAUCCAAGGUAGAGCAACUUUCUAAAGCCAGAGUAACAGAUUUGAAUAAACCACUAAAGGGCAGAAUGUGGCAAACCCGUUCGACCCAAUAACACUUUGUUAAAGAGAUUUAGAGCUUUACUUGAUUUAAAAAAAAAAAAAAGGUUUCAUUGAGCCUAUGGAAGAUGGGUUUGGUUUCUUAUUUUUAAACUAC